rnacentral:rRNA from 1 species
UACGUAGGGUGCAAGCGUUGUCCGGAAUUAUUGGGCGUAAAGAGCUCGUAGGCGGUUUAUCGCGUCUGCUGUGAAAACUCGGGGCUUAACCCCGGGCCUGCAGUGGGUACGGGCAGACUAGAGUGCGGUAGGGGAGACUGGAAUUCCUGGUGUAGCGGUGAAAUGCGCGGAUAUCAGGAGGAACACCGGUGGCGAAGGCGGGUCUCUGGGCCGUAACUGACGCUGAGGAGCGAAAGCGUGGGGAGCGAACAGG